GGGGCUGACCGGUUUUGACAGCGGGUAGAAGUGGUGGGUAAGCAUGCAGAGCGUUGUUUAGCUUAAUCUCCGCAACAGUUGUGGAGACAAGACAUCACCCGGUUGCUGUUGUUCCGAAGCGUUCCGAAACGGUGGUGCAAUAAUAUCGGAAAUAGUCAGAGGCCAGUUUCGAGCUGAUGAUGAAAAUUUAGAAACUAAGGUGCAGAUUGGUGGCUUCGGUCUUGUCUGUACCCGACAAUCAAAGCGAAGAUAAGCAUGUAGAAAGCUCAUUAGUUCCUCGUUUGGACGAGGGUUCGAAUCCCUCCAGCUCCACGA
rnacentral:tmRNA from 1 species